CUACGGGUCGCUGCAGUUUCGAAUAAUUCACAAUGGGCGCAAGCCUGAUGAUGCGACGUUACGUGAAGGAAGAAAGCUUUAAGUUGUAAACUUCUGUCGUUAAGGAACAAAAAAUUAAGUAGUACUUUUUAUAUUGAGUUAACUUAAAAAGGAAACAGUGGCUAAUUUCGUGCCAGCAGCCGCGGUAAUACGGGAACUGCAAGCGUUGCUCGGUUUUAUUGGGCGUAAAGAGUACGUAGGCUGUUAUAUAUGUUAAUUGUUAAAUUUUAAAGUUAAUCUUUAAAUUUGCUGUUAAAACUUAUAACUAGAAUUUCAAAGAGGUAAGUGGAAUUUCAAGUGUAGCGGUGAAAUGCGUAGAUAUUUGAAGGAACACCAAUGGCGAAAGCAACUUACUGGGUGAUAAUUGACGCUAAAGUACGAAAGUAUAGGGAGCAAAAGGGAUUAGAUACCCCUGUAGUC
rnacentral:rRNA from 1 species